rnacentral:rRNA from 1 species
GACGAACGCUGGCGGCGUGCUUAACACAUGCCAGUCGAACGGAAAGGCCCCUUUGGGGGUCCUCGAGUGGCGAACGGGUGAGUAACACGUGAGUAACCUGCCCUUGACUUCGGGAUAACUUCAGGAAACUGGGGCUAAUACCGGAUAGGAAUCCUUGCUGCAUGGUGGGGGUUGGAAAGCUUCGGCGGUUUUGGAUGGACUCGCGGCUUAUCAGCUUGUUGGUGGGGUAGUGGCUUACCAAGGCUUUGACGGGUAGCCGGCCUGAGAGGGCGACCGGCCACAUUGGGACUGAGAUACGGCCCAGACUCCUACGGGAGGCAGCAGUGGGGAAUAUUGCACAAUGGGCGGAAGCCUGAUGCAGCAACGCCGCGUGCGGGAUGACGGCCUUCGGGUUGUAAACCGCUUUCAACAGGGGCGAAGCUUGUGGUGACGGUACCUGCAGAAGAAGCACCGGCUAACUACGUG